UGGUCUUAGCUUGCUAAGGCUGAUGGCGACCGGCGCACGGGUGAGUAACGCGUAUCCAACCUUCCGUACACUCAGGGAUAGCCUUUCGAAAGAAAGAUUAAUACCUGAUGGUAUGAUGAGAUUGCAUGAUAUCAUCAUUAAAGAUUUAUCGGUGUACGAUGGGGAUGCGUUCCAUUAGGUAGUAGGCGGGGUAACGGCCCACCAAGGCUACGAUCAGUAGGGGUUCUGAGAGGAAGGUCCCCACAUUGGAACUGAGACACGGCCCAGACUCC
rnacentral:rRNA from 1 species